CUGCGGAAGGAUCAUUAAAGAAAUUUAAUAAUUUUGAUAUUGGAUUUUUUUGUUUUGGCAAGAGCGUGAGAGCUUUUACUGGGCAAGAAGACAAGAGAUGGAGAGUCCAGCCGGGCCUGCGCUUAAGUGCGCGGUCUUGCUAGGCUUGCAAAUUUCUUUCUUGCUAUUCCAAACAGUGAGACUUCUCUGUUUUUGUUAUAGGACAAUUAAAACCGUUUCAAUACAACACACUGUGGAGUUUUUAUACUUUUGCAACUUUUUCUUUGGGCUUCGAGCAAUCGAGCCCAGAGGUAACAAACACAAACAAUUUUAUUUAUUCAUUAAAUUUUUGUCAAAAACAAGAAUUUUCGUAACUGGAAAUUUUAAAAAUAAUUAAAAACUUUCAACAACGGAUCUCUUGGUUCUCGCAUCGAUGAAGAACGCAGCGAAAUGCGAUACGUAAUGUGAAUUGCAGAAUUCCGUGAAUCAUCGAAUCUUUGAACGCACAUUGCGCCCCUUGGUAUUCCAGGGGGCAUGCCUGUUUGAGCGUCAUUUCCUUCUCAAACAUUCUGUUUGGUAGUGAGUGAUACUCUCUGGAGUUAACUUGAAAUUGCUGGCCUUUUCAUUGGAUGUUUUUUUUCCAAAGAGAGGUUUCUCUGCGUGCUUGAGGUAUAAUGCAAGUACGGUCGUUUUAGGUUUUACCAACUGCGGCUAAUCUUUUUUGUACUGAGCGUAUUGAAACGUUAUCGAUAAGAAGAGAGCGUCUAGGCGAACAAUGUUCUUAAAGUUUGACCUCAAAUCAGGUAGGAGUACCCGCUGAACUUAAGCAUAUCAAUAAGCCGGAGGAAA
rnacentral:rRNA from 1 species